UGUCUCCUCAGUUUGGGACCAUUGCCGU
rnacentral:piRNA from 1 species